GUGACUGCAUCCGGACCUUGAGUUCUUUGGCUCUUGUGUGAGUGGAUGGUGACACCAGGCCAGCUGGGGAUUCUUCCCAGGCUGGGCUCACAGGCUGGGGCUGGGCACACGGAGCAGCUGCGGGAAAAGGAUCUGGACACCAGCCCCCCAGCGUGUCACCGGCAGGAAGGUGAGGUGGGAACAGAGUGACGUCCAUGCAUGUUCAGGACUAAGCCAGUGGAUCACAAACAUCCUGGAGAGCAGUGACUCUGUGAUUCCAUCACAAGAAUAUGAAGGACUGAGAAGAUCUCCAGCUCUGCCCAUUGCACCUUCCCAUUGAGAAGCAGCAUGGCACCCUGGUGGCAGGGGCUGAUACUCAGCCGGGCCAGGGUGCUCUCCUGUUAACCAUAACCAAGCUCACAGGACAUGGGAUGAGCCCACUGUGUGACACAGGGAGCGGGACACAGUCUGUUAAGUCUUGCACAGCCAUGCUCUGCCACGCAGGCAGGCCUUUCCUUGGCCUCCCUCUCCCUGUUCGUGCUCAUGUGAACAUCCACCUACGUGGAUAGACUGGGCUUUGGUUCAUUAUUGCUCUGUGAAUUCCUCGAACUUCCGCAUCUGCCCAACCUCCCCCACCCCAUUGUUUUCAUUGUGUUUCACCAAAUGGAAAUUCUAGAGUAAGCAUGUGAGUCCUCUCCCAAACUUGUUCACUGUUGAGAGUGCUAAAAUGCUAACCCCAGAUGCUAACUGAGGGGUAGGGUUACCUUAUCUUUAGAGCACUGCGAAUUGUAUGUUAAGUGGAACUUAAUGAAAAAAUAGUUAAUUGACCAACAUGAAUAUCCCCUGAACAGAAUCUCCCCUGAACAGAAUCCUACAAUGAAACUAAGGGAGAUAAAUAAAGCUGUUUACCUGAAAGCUCUCUCUAAUCAAGAUCCUUUGAAAUUUAUAAAACAUGGUCAAUAUUUGCACUGGACUUUGUAAAAAUAAAGCUUGAUAAGAGAAGAGUUUGAAGUGAAA
rnacentral:lncRNA from 1 species